rnacentral:tRNA from 1 species
UCCCUGGAAGACUAAUGGUUAGGCCUCGGCACUCUCACCACCACGGCCUGGGUUCGAUUCCCAGCCAGAUAA